CAGGGCCAGCCCUGGUGACUCCCUCCCAGGCGCCCCUGGCACGCCGAGUUAGGCCAUGCCCCCCGCAGCCUUGGCCUGUGCUCAGCAUGGCCCUGCCGGCGGGCAGCCGCUGCCUGUGCCCACAGCCUCUCGCUCACCGGCUCCGUCUCCCCUGAGCAGUGAAGGGUCGGACCAACCUGAAGAUCAAUGAGAAAUACCUGUCUCCAGACGCCUUAGGGGCCACGACCGCCGGUGCCGGCAGCCAGUCAGCCCCCCCCUCCAAAGUGCUGUCCCCCAGCCGCUCCAACUCCAGCCUCAGCCUCUACAGCAGCGCCUCUGCCCCCAGCAGCCCCCUGGCCAGGAAGGCUGUCCUGCGCCGGACGCGCUCCGGAGACCGGUGCCCCCGUUCCCGCAGCUCCCUCCUGGCUGACGGGGCUGAGCUGAGCUUCUCCGCCCCCCAGGCCAGCACAGAGGCUGCGCCCCCAGAGCCCCCCGAAGGCCCCCCCACCUGAGAGCGCAGCCCGAGAGCACCCGUCGGAGCGGCCCCCCGGCCCCAGGGACGGGCAGGCGCCCUCCCCGGCCCAGCCCGAGCCCCAUUCAGGAUUUUCUGCCCUUCUCGAUGGCUGCGCCAGCAGAGCCGCUUCCACGCCGCAGAUGUGGCUCCAAGGCGGGAGAGGGUGGAAGACCCCGGCCCCAACCCUUCAGCAGAGAGCUCGGUGUGUGUGUGUGUGUGUGUACCUCGUGUGUACCUCGGUGGGGUGUAUGUGU